rnacentral:tRNA from 1 species
UCCUUGGUGGCUCAGAUGGUAAAGAAUCUGCCUGCAAUGCAGAAGACCUGGGUUCGAUCCCUGGGUUGGGAA